UCUACGUUAUAAAAGAAAAGUGCCUUUGCUGCGUCUGUCAGAUCGCCGGACUGGAAUGCUUCGACGACGGCUCCCCUGGAUAGCAAGACAAUUUGGUAGCGGAGGUGCCCUGGAUCUCCCUUUUUAUGUUCUUGCCAACCUGCAGGGACAACAUUAAACGACCAAAGGGUCUUUUAUUUAAAGUGUAUUCCUAGUGCCCUAGAAUGAGCUCACCCUACUUCCUAGGUUGUAUCGUCCGUUCAAUCACCGGACUGCAGAUAUGAAACCCAAUGUCUACCCUGUUUGCUGCCUAAGUUAUUCUGUUUUCUUUUUUUUUUAUUUCUUAUAUUUUUAUUCCAGGAUGUGUGUCAAGCUAAGUUUCUCUGUGUAUCGUUCUAAGUAUUGAACAUAUAAAAAGGAGCAUACAUCGGCCUACCUUGGCACCUACGGGCUGCUGGUGCAAAAUUCCCUCGGGGACACUGGAGCAGAUGGCGGCGGUGGAACCAAUGAUGAAGCUGGAGAUGCUGAUGAGAUGAUGAUGUUGUUGAGGAUGGAAAUGUUGACGUUGCCGUGGAUGACGAUGGUUAAAAUUGCAGUAGUGGUGGGUAUUUAUUAUUUGACAAAAAGUUUUUGUUGUUCUGUUUAGUCUUUGCUAUGUUUUAUUCGUGGCUCAAAUUAACGUUCUUUUUCAAAGCUUUUUAUAUUUCACAGGAUCUUUUUUCCUUAGCAUUAAUUAGCACUAAUAAGUUUAUUUAGCUUUAAGUUGAUCUAAAGUAACUUCAGCUUUUUUACUACAAAAGCUAGUCUUUAUUCCUUUCACAAAAAAAGGAACAUUUAUUUGCUUUUAAAUAAAAAACUUUAUGCCUUUGGCAUCACAUAUUCUGAUUUGUUUUUUUUUUCUUUUGUUUGUCAAGCUCACAAUCAAAGGUUUGUAGAACACAACAUAACCUUUUCUUUUUUUUAAAGUUUUCUCUCUUUUUGAAACACCACUUUCAACACUCUUGAGUACACCACCUCUUACUGCUUGCACGGCUCCAUCCAAAAAGAACUCGUCAUCUUCCCUUUACUGUCCAUCAUGGUUCCCCCAAGCCAUCAUGUCCACCGAGGAACCAUCAUAAAA